GUAGGGAAUAUUGCUCAAUGGGGGAAACCCUGACGCAGCGACGCCGCGUGAGUGAUGAAGGCCUUCGGGUCGUAAAGCUCUGUUGCAGGGGAAUAAAAAAAUGAAGGUACCCUGUGAGGAAGGAUCGGCUAACUUCGUGCCAGCAGCCGCGGUAAGACGAGGGAUCCUAGCGUUGCUCGGAAUCAUUGGGCGUAAAGAGGGCGUAGGUGGCUUGGUAAGUCAGGUGUGAAAGCCCGGGGCUCAACCCUGGAAGUGCAUUUGAUACUGCUGAGCUUGAGUGUCGGAGAGGUUACCGGAAUACCUGGUGUAGUGGUGAAAUACGUAGAUAUCAGGUGGAACACCGGAGGCGAAGGCGGGUAACUGGACGAACACUGACACUGAGGCCCGAAAGCGUGGGGAUCAAACAGGAUUAGAUACCCGAGUAGUCC
rnacentral:rRNA from 1 species